rfam:Anopheles funestus strain FTMOZ unplaced genomic scaffold supercont1.87, whole genome shotgun sequence.
CCAUCGGCUCUUUUCAGAGCCACCGAAAGAUUUAGUAGAUAUCAGU